rnacentral:rRNA from 1 species
CGAUCUCGAAAACCUGUCCCAGUUCGGACUGGAGUCUGCAACCCGACUCCACGAAGUUGGAUUCGCUAGUAAUCGCGCAUCAGCCAUGGCGCGGUGAAUACGUUCCCGGGCCUUGUACACACCGCCCGUCAAGCCAUGGGAGCCGGGGGCNCCUGAAGUCCGGGACCGCGAGGACCGGCCUAAGGCGAAACUGGUGACUGGGGCUAAGUCGUAACAAGGUAUC